rnacentral:lncRNA from 1 species
CUUGAAGUUGAAGUAUGUUGAAAUAUCUUAGGACAGCGACGACGAUCAUGACCCUGUUCCCUACAAAUACCACAGUGGUUCUUAUUUCUUAUUUGCCUAUCAUCCAUCUCAUUUCGUAGUCUCGUUGAUUUUGGUCUACCUUUCUGCUUCGGUCUCAAACGAUGAUGAUCAGGCAUACAUUUGAACAUACGUGUAUGCAUCCAAUAAUCUUCAUAUGGUAGUGGAUUGAAAUUAUCGCUCCAAGCAUUCAUAUAUGCUGUAAUUGUAUAUGCAUCAUCCAUAAAACCACUAAAAUGUACAGCAAUUUUUUGACACACAGCUAAAACAUGUGAACAUGGAUAUUUAUACGUGCUCCACUUUCCACAAGAAUAUUUUCUUUC